GAUGAACGCUGGCGGCGUGCCUAAUACAUGCAAGUCGAACGAAACUUCUUUAUCACCGAGUGCUUGCACUCACCGAUACAGAGUUGAGUGGCGAACGGGUGAGUAACACGUGGGCAACCUGCCCAAAAGAGGGGGAUAACACUUGGAAACAGGUGCUAAUACCGCAUAACCAUAGUUACCGCAUGGUAACUAUGUAAAAGGUGGCUAUACUACCGCUUUUGGAUGGGCCCGCGGCGCAUUAGCUAGUUGGUAGGGUAAAGGCUUACCAAGGCAAUGAUGCGUAGCCGAAUUGAGAGGGUGAUCGGCCACAUUGGGACUGAGACACGGCCCAAACUCCUACGGGAGGCAGCAGUAGGGAAUCUUCCACAAUGGGCGAAAGCCUGAUGGAGCAACGCCGCGUGGGUGAAGAAGGUCUUCGGAUCGUAAAACCCUGUUGUUAGAGAAGAAAGUGCGUGAGAGUAACUGUUCACGUUUCGACGGUAUCUAACCAGAAAGCCACGGCUAACUACGUG
rnacentral:rRNA from 1 species